AUCCCAUGGUGGUAGCUGCGGUCUGAAGU
rnacentral:sRNA from 1 species